GAUGAACGCUGGCGGCGUGCUUAACACAUGCAAGUCGAACGAACCUUCGGGUUAGUGGCGGACGGGUGAGUAACGCGUGAGAAUCUGCCCUCAGGAGGGGGAUAACGGCUGGAAACGGCCGCUAAUACCCCAUAUGCCGCGAGGUGAAAUGAAUUUCGCCUGAGGAUGAGCUCGCGUCUGAUUAGCUAGUUGGUGGGGUAAGAGCCUACCAAGGCAUCGAUCAGUAGCUGGUCUGAGAGGAUGAUCAGCCACACUGGGACUGAGACACGGCCCAGACUCCUACGGGAGGCAGCAGUGGGGAAUUUUCCGCAAUGGGCGAAAGCCUGACGGAGCAACGCCGCGUGAGGGAUGAAGGCCUCUGGGCUGUAAACCUCUUUUAUCAAGGAAGAAGAUCUGAC
rnacentral:rRNA from 1 species